AAGACUAUAGACCUGCGGAGUACCUGCGGAAGGAUCAUUAACACACAUUCAAUUUGGGAUUUAAUUCGAAUGAUUUCGAUUAAAUUCUCAAAACGAUUAGCGAUACUGAAACAUUAAACAUUAAACUCUCAUUAAAUCAGUUAAAUAUAACUUUAAAAAGAAAGUGUAAUUUAUUACAACUUUCAACAACGGAUCUCU
rnacentral:misc_RNA from 1 species